GUGGGCUGGGAACAUCAGUGAAAACAUUGUAAAGACACGGACAAGAGUGGUCACAUGGUCAGACGAGUGGCAACGAUGCCUGAUCGAAGGGACUGGCACUGAUGAAGACGAGAUCUGGAGGGAAAUCACAGGAAGUGGAUCUAGCGUUCUGGGUCCUGAGAGGUCUGAGAUAGAGCGAAGGCGCCUUUUCCAGAAGUGUGCUGUGGAAUCAGUUUCUCUGGAUGGCGUUCAAGAAGAAUUCAGACACUUAUCAAAGACCUGAAGGAAGACUUUGCUCAAGAGAAGCUACUGCGCUGGGGGUUCUGCAGGGGGAGGAGCUCGACUCCACGUACAGAGGAAAAGCAGAAACUGAUAGCCAGGGAGCGGGCUGCGGGCGGUGCAGGGAAAACGACUCCGAGGAAACCUCCAGGCUGGGGCAGUGGCUAAAGCAACGUGACAGGGUUCUGACUGAGGGCAGGCCGGGGGCAGACGGGAGGGCCUCGAUCAGAUCUCGAGGGCGGGAGAGUUUGCUACACAGACACAGCAGGAUUCUUGCUCAAACUGGACUGAAGCGGGCUGAGCACAGAGCUGAGGCCCGGGCCUCGUCAGAGAGAGGACUCGGAGGAGCCCGACACAAGUUUGGUCAAAGGGGAGAGUGUGUCAAUGGUAAUAAGUAAAAUGACUGCGAGAGAGCCCGCAGAGUCCUCGUGGUCCCCAGGGCCCCAACCUCACCUGCUGGCCGGGUCAGCCGGGGUCAAGUCCUGCCUCUCCACCCCCUUGUGACCUCACAGAGGUGACCCUGGAGGCCAGCUGGGAGGGGCAGAAAGAGGGGUCACUCAGUUCUCGAGUAGCUGUCAUGUGGGCCUCUGACAGAGCAGGUCAGGAGAGAGCAGGCGGUUACAGCAGGUCACAAGGAUGAAGACUCCGGGCAGGACCGGAGGAGGAAAGCAGCGAGGUGCAUGUGGGAGAGCAAUUCUCCACAACCGUCUGCGAGAGACUGUGGUUGGACAAUUUGAUGCACGGUUUCUCUCAGGACUUCCUGAUAAUUCUGCCCUCACACGUGUAGAAAUCCCAAGAGAACGAAGGCCCUCCCUCAGCCAUCUGAGAUUGCAGCCAGGUACCUGAAGAGGGCUUCUCGAAUCUUUACCAGCCACUGACUUCAAAGGGCGUCCUGGCUGGAGGAGAAGGGUGGACGAGACAAGGAGACCGGCUCCCCCUGAAGUCAGGCCUGUGUCAAGAUCCCGCAAACUUUCCCGCCUGCAGAUUCAUUCCUCUUUCCACCGCUACCCUGAGGCUCAUAGGAGAAUGUUCUCCACGUAAAGAAGGAAAUCAUGCUCUGGCAGCCGGAUCCUGAGCGAUCGUUCUGAGGGAGAAGUGUUUUUCUAGCUGUAAAGGCAGUAUUUGAAUUUCACCAGCUGCUUCCUAAUGACCGUUAGAAUAUUCUGGUGAUGCCACCAGCUGCAGGACGGUUAUGGAUGUGGCCUAAUCUUUCGUUAAUCAGGGAGAGUUUUGUAUCUGGGGAGAUGACACUUAUUUGACGUAAUCCGCAUGUCUUCUCUCUGGGUGUUCCCAAUUCCUCCAGCCUUACUGAUCACCCCAACCAUCAGUAAUCAAAUAAAAGUGGCUUGAGACCCCAUCACACACAGAAAUUCACACGUGGAAACAAAACCCAGCAGCGCAGUCCAGGACCAAGCUAUUUGUGGCUUUCCGUCGUAAAGUCUCCUCUUGGUGCCCCGUGACAUCUCAAGACUGUGAAGCUCUUCUUUCCAUCUUACUCGGGAGGUGAGAGUUGGCCCAUCUCCAGGGCUUUAGUGUUGAUGGCAAUUCCAUCAGCAAACUGAGGCUUGGAGAAGUGAAAAACCUGCCCAAGGAUAAACUGCUUUCAAGAGGCAGAGGCUAGUUUUGAAACUUGGCUCUGCGACACCAGUCUGUACUCUUUCCAGCUGUCCGUAUCCAGCCAACCAGUCCCGCCGCCCAUGAGCUGCCCGAUGCUGAAGAUCACGUGGAAGGUGCUACGUGGGAUGUGGUUUUGAUCAAGAAACAGUCCUGCCCUGAUCUCAAACACAAUCACUGUGAUAAGAGCCACGUGUGAGAAGGUCCAAGUUAGUGGACUCAAUGGCGUGUGACCGGAGUGCUAAGCAGAGCGGGGCCGUGUGACUGUGAGCUCAGAUCGUUUCUGGCUAGUCUCAAACCUUUGGCCGAGUGCCUCAAUCUUCAUUUCACCUCUUGCUGCGGAACUCAUUUUUUUUUUUUAAGCCCAAGAGUCCAACCUCAGUCAUCUCCUAAGAUCACGUAAUGAGGCCAUCUCACAGGGCAGGCUGUGGUCACACCACAGUUGAUUUGUUGCUGUAAUGAAAGCCACAUGCUUCGUGGUAUUUUUGGGCUCGUUAAUAUCAGCAGGUCAGAGCAUUUUUAUUUAGAUAUUGCUAUUCCAGCUGUGCUUCCUCUACUUACUUCAAGAAAAUUCAGAAUUUCCACCGAACCAUAGGCUUUCAGGAAAGUGGAAAGUCGAAAGUUAACGACCAGCACUUUCCACCCCCGCGCCUUGGGUCUACUGGUUUCCAUACGGGCUUUGUAUUGGUCUCCUUGAGUCUUUAUGAAAGGAAAGACGUGGCUGACCCAGGGGCUUGCUCUCAAAGGACGAUGGAACCAAUAACAAGCGGGGAGACAUGAUGAGGAGUGACUGCAGUUUGGCCUGGAGGCAAGAGAGGAGAGGAGAGAAGAGGGGAGAGGCUGGAAAAGGGGUGUCCAGCCACCUUGCUGAUCUUGCUGGGAUUUAUUGGCAUGGUGUGAUUUUUUUGUUGUUUGUUUGUUUUUAUUGUCUCGAGAAAGGGAGGCUCAUUCCAUUUCAUUCUCGAGUUCUCUUUGGAGUCGCUUGAAUCUCCAAAUUGGCUUCUUUCAGAGAGAGUUUUCUAUUUCUUGGGAAAGGACCUCAAAUUACUUUCCCAAUUAAGUUGUACCUCUCCUUCCCCAGCCAACAUUAAAUACCCAACCCCACUUCUCUCUCCCGCCAGAGAAACUGAGGCAGGACUUUGACUUUGAAUGUAAAGAUGUCAUUAAGAGUAGUCAUCUUGGGGCCGGCCUGGAGAUGCAGUGAAGAUUACACACUCCGCUUCAGCACCCUGAGGUUCGCCAGUUCGGAUCCUGGGCGCAGACCUACACACUGCUUAUCAAACCAUGCUGUGGCAGUGUCCCACAUAUGAGAUAGAGGAAGAUAGGCACAGAUGUUAGCUCAGGGCUAGUCUUCCUCAGCAAAAAGAAAAGAGUAGUGAUCUCGGUCCUUAGGAUGGGUCUUUGUGGACCCAAGGAGUGACUGAAGGACACACACUCCUCUGCCCAGGAGGCUGGAGGAAAAAGGGGAGAAAGAAAGGAUGAUCAGGGCCCCUCAGAACCACCUUACGGAUGCAGACCUUUCUGCUGAGGGUCAGGUCAGUUUGUGCCAGGCCCACGAAACAACAGCUCAGACCCUCUGUUGGUGGAGGUCCAGCCGAGGAGAUUUUGCUUUGGCAUAUGUUUUCUUUAACCGAUGUAUUACAAAUGUUUUAAACCCAACAGCCAUAAGCAGGAAACUGCUGAAUUUUCCCCACCACGGACACCUUGAAAACAUAUGCUGCUCAAUCUCCUCUCCUUGUCCCCUUCUGUAGAAUGGCCAUUUUCAGGUAAAAAAACCCCAACAAAACAAAUCUUAUUUUGAUAAUUAAGACUCUUCAAGUGUUAAAAGGCCCAAUAGAGUGUAAAUCAAGACUUCUCCCGUUGCUGUAGCCGAGGCCUGACCCUCGGCUGGGGGUCCCGGAAUGGGGAAGGAGGGGUUGAUGAUGGUCUGUUUGUUCCCGAUUUUCCUCACUCCCUCCGUCUCCUCGAUCGGCUGUGCAGCAAUAAAACAUGGUUUACCAGUCCUCGUUCACGUUACAAGUAUACAUGGGGCGCUUCCUAGGUGGCUGGCCUUGCACUGAGCCCUGGAGACACGGCAGUUAGAAGGACAUGAUCUCUGCUCACACAGAGCUCCCAGUCUACGGGGCUGAUCUGGCAAAUCCACACGGUGGGGUUGUAAGUGCUUGGAUGGUAUAUGCACAGGGGCCCAGAGGUCAUAGGAGGCCAUACUGCCUGGACUUUAACAAGG